rnacentral:rRNA from 1 species
GAUGAACGCUGGCGGCGUGCCUAAUACAUGCAAGUCGAGCGAACAGAUGAGGAGCUUGCUCCUCUGACGUUAGCGGCGGACGGGUGAGUAACACGUGGAUAACCUACCUAUAAGACUGGGAUAACUUCGGGAAACCGGAGCUAAUACCGGAUAAUAUAUUGAACCGCAUGGUUCAAUAGUGAAAGACGGUUUUGCUGUCACUUAUAGAUGGAUCCGCGCCGCAUUAGCUAGUUGGUAAGGUAACGGCUUACCAAGGCAACGAUGCGUAGCCGACCUGAGAGGGUGAUCGGCGACACUGGAACUGAGACAGGGUCCAUACUCCUACGGGAGGCAGCAGUAGGGAAUCGUCCGCAAUGGGCGAAAGCCUGACGGAGCAACGCCGCGUGAGUGAUGAAGGUCUUCGGAUCGUAAAACUCUGUUAUUAGGGAAGAACAAAUGUGUAAGUAACUAUGCACGUCUUGACGGUACCUAAUCAGAAAGCCACGGCUAACUACGUG